AAUAUGUACAGUGUGAUUUAUAUCAGCCAACAAAAUGUGGGCUAGCCUUGGAAAUAACUUGUAAGCUGAUUUAGGAUUUGGUGGUAGAUGACAAUUGUUAAACUAGUCGGUCAUUUCAAUGCUAUGAUAGUUAAAUUUACUUUUGUGUACCCUUUCUGUUUAAGCUAACUGCUGAAUUUAAGAGGAUUACAACCAUCAGUUUGCUGUCAAAGUUCUUCUCCCAGCUGGAUGCUCAUUCUUCAAACUUGAUGAGGGUGUUUGGCAAGAAAGGCGGCGUUCAAGGAAGAAAGAUAAGGAGCAUCAUGAUACCCAUCACCAAGACUGACGCCAUUGAUGUCAAAAGAGAGUGAAUCAUCAAAGCCCUGUGUGUGUACCUGAAUGAAGAGCCCGAGAACCUUGUGAAAGAAUACAUGAACACAGAUUGUGGGAGCAGUGAAGCUGCAGUGAUGGAGACGACAUUUGGAAUAUUUGUCAUUCGCAAGGAAGGUGCAGAGCCAGGUGAUGGACCGGAAGAUGUAGGUAUAGUUCUGGAUGGGCUCGGAAACGUGCCACUUGCUGUGGUCAUGUUGUUUGCGCUUGUAUAU